AUGUGUGUGUGUAUGUGCGUGCAAAUUUUGUGCAUGUGGAUUGUUUGUUUUUGAUUUUGUCAACUACACAGUUUAGUAGGAUCAGUUGGACACUGUCCAUGAGAGAAACAGCUCUAUGAUACAAUUC